AGUGUGGCUUGCAAAUACUGCAUUCAGAUGGAUUAAACCAAAAUGUUGCAGCCUUUGGCAAAAAUUACUAAACAUUACGGUGGGAUUAAAGAAAAAAAAAAAGAAAAACAAAUAAAAAGUUUAAUAUUUUAGCCUAAAACUGCCAGAACUUAGCACACAGCGCCAUGCAGUUCUCUGCUGGCGCUGUCCCCUCUGCUCUCUCCACAGGUGACUGCAGCUGACUGGUGGGCGGGGCGCGCACACCUGCGGCUCGUUCUGCGAGUCAGCGCUGGAGCAAAAGAGCAGCGCUCAGACAGCCGGUGGAUGCCUGAGUGUUAGCAUCAGUGGUUUCCCGUGCCUUGAUCCAGCCGUGGCGCUUAUGCACUUGUCUUGCCAGACUUCAGAGGAAAACCAGUCAGUCUGACUCGCCAGAUUCCACCGGCUGUCCUCGACCACCUCGGGCGCUGCUCGGACCUCCCCUUGCUCCUUCAGCUCACCGCCGCUCAGUCACCAACCUCCAUCAGAGCCGAAAGCGCUAAGUUCCUCCUCCGCUCCACUUCCCCCGGUCCGGUCCCCGAACCUUGUGAUCCUCUCACCCCGGCUCCGUUCAGCCUUAAAUUCUGUGAUCAGCCAGCUCCGCUCCUGUAAAUAAAACCUUUAAACUGCUCAUUGUUG